ACACAUCUCCUAUUACAGAAAAUUCAGAAAGAGAGAUAAGCAGCGACAAGAUAGAAGAAGAAGAGAAGCAGUAGGAGAUUGAGGAAGGAGCAGCAGCAAGUUCGUGGGGGAAGGAGGAGCAGCAAAAGGUUCUGAGAAGAUACAGGAAGCAGUAAGGUAGGUGAAGGGAGCAGGAAGUCGCAAGAAGAAGCAGCAGCAACGCGGGGAUGUAGAGAGGAGAAGGAGGAGCAGGGGCGCAACAAGAAGGGAGCAGCAGCGGGGCUUGGAGAAGAAGCAGUAGAAGCAACAGCAAGGCGAGGGAAGAAGGAGCAGCAGCAAGGAAACUCUCGCGCGGAGGUGCUCAGUGGUGCGGUGGUGAUGGUGGCACGGUGAAGCGGGGAGUGGUGGUGAUGGAUGGCGGCGGUGUGGAGCGUGUGGAGGUGCUGGGUGGCGCGCCGCCACGCCAGCCUGGCCGCGGCGGCGGCCGGAGAUGGAAGAAGAAGUGGUGAGGGAGAGAGAUGGAGAUGCCAGACCCGAUGGGGAUCGGCAGCCUCUAGGGAUUUUGACCCCUCCUCUGAUCUGCCACUUUGCAAUUUUGGCCCUUCUCCUUUUCUUCUUUCUUCACAAGAAGGUCCCUUUCUUCUUUAACUUGUCCCCUGGAGCAUCAUUUCUUCACACACAAGUCCCUCUGUCUUUCUUCUUUCUUUUCACUUGACCGGUUCCCUUAACCACUAGUCUGGAUCUUGAAGUUUAUAAUGCCUUUGCGCACUUU
rnacentral:rRNA from 1 species